rnacentral:rRNA from 1 species
UACGAAGGGGGCUAGCGUUGCUCGGAAUCACUGGGCGUAAAGCGCGCGUAGGCGGUUUUGUAAGUCGGGUGUGAAAUCCCCAAGCUUAACUUGGGAACUGCAUUCGAGACUGCAUAGCUAGAGUAUGGGAGAGGGAAGUGGAAUUUCAGGUGUAGCGGUGAAAUGCGUAGAUAUCUGAAGGAACAUCAGUGGCGAAAGCGACUUCCUGGACCAAUACUGACGCUCAUGUGCGAAAGCGUGGGGAGCAAACAGG